GUAGGUGUUGAGGUAUCUUAUGAUGCCAACCCCCCAUUGAUCCUCGAAACAUUGCUCAGGAAAAUCACGUUAAUUCCUCGAUUCCUGAGACUUCACAAGACACAGAACCCCGAUGACAGCCCGAAGUGGAAACAGCCCUAGGUCUCCGGACUCUAGGUCCGCCAAGGCAGAACUCUGCCCUUCCAAGGGCCCCGACUUUGGCGCGCGGCCCCGCCCCGCGAACCCCAACGCGCGGGGUGAAGGGGCGGUCCCCACCGCGCAGACUUAGCGUUCAGGGAUGAGGUUGGGGGGAGGCCAGGCCAUGCCCCAGCCUCCGCCCGCUCGCCGGCCCGCCGGCCUCCCCCUACCUCGGCCUUCCCCGGACUACGCCUGCCUUCCUGCCGCCCACCGCCGCGCCCCGCCGCCGCACCUUGAGGAGAUGGAAGGAGAUGCCGAGGACCGAGCUGGGGCCGAGCAGCAACAGAAAGAGCCAGGCGGACGGGAGAGGGCCAGGCCGGGAGAGUGGGCCAAACAAACCAGACAUGGUGCCGGAGCCUCGUUCACCACCCGGGGCCUCUAGCGCGCCGGAACCGGGAGCACCCACGUGACGCGCCUCUGCCCUGGCGAGGCCGUCCGCGCCAUUUUGGAGAUUGGCUAAACAGAAAAGGAAUGUAAAGCAAAUAACUUCUAAGAGGAAGCAAAGAUUUGGUAGUAUGUCAUAACUACGAGUUUAAGGGUCUAUAGAGAAGUCCCCAGGAGUUUUUCGUACACGUUUUAUUUUUUAAUGGUGGUGAAAUACUUCCGAGUGAGCCAUAGAAGCCCCCGGAAGCGGUUCAUGCGAGUUUUUAAAAUCGACGACACCAUAGCAACCAGCCCCCAAUAAGAAACAGCCACAAGGCCUUCUCUGAGCCCGCCCACCAGCUGCGUAGACUCGGGGCUAAGGCACCAGAGGAAUUUCGGUGUCCUAACGCUUACUCCAAAGGGUGUUGGGACAGUGGAGCACUGAAGAGGGAAAACAUAAGAGAAAAUUUUAAUUUGGCUUUUAGUGAGUGUGGGUUGCUAACUCAGAGGAGAGUGCGUAGAGGUCAGCGGGUGAAUGUGGAUUGGCAGGGUUUGGAAGACCGAGGGAAGAGGAUGGCCUUGAGAUGGAAGCCAGCUGGGACUGUAUAGUGAGUUCCAAGCCAGCCUGGGGUACAUGUCUCAGAAAGCAGAUACUACAACACCCAAGAAUAAACAGUAGCCUAUGCGUGUAACUGUAAUCUGUUUUAAUCAAUGUCUCUUGAACACUAGCAAAAAUAGAAGACUUGUCUGCCUUUAGUAAUUUAGAUGGUUGUUCUUUUGUUUCAUUUUCAUUUUUUAUAACUCCUUUCUGUCUACCUGGUUCCUUUCCUGGAACAGAAGUCUGAAAACAAAACAAGUGCAAACAUAAUAGAGUUGUUAAGCAUUUUAAAAUAUAGCAAAUACCA
rnacentral:lncRNA from 1 species